rnacentral:rRNA from 1 species
UACGUAGGGUGCAAGCGUUAAUCGGAAUUACUGGGCGUAAAGGGUGCGCAGGCGGCCCCGCAUGUCAGGCGUGAAAUCCCCGGGCUCAACUUGGGAAUGGCGCUUGAAACUACGGGGCUGGAGUGUGGCAGAGGGAGGUGGAAUUCCACGUGUAGCGGUGAAAUGCGUAGAGAUGUGGAGGAACACCGAUGGCGAAGGCAGCCUCCUGGGCCAAUACUGACGCUCAUACGCGAAAGCGUCGGGAGCAAACAGG